CCCUUAGACGUUCUGGGCCGCACGCGCGCUACACUGACCAGUGCAACAAGCAUCCGUCCUUGGCCGACAGGCUCGGGCAAUCUUUGAACGCUGGUCGUGAUGGGGAUAGACUUUUGCAAUUUUUGGUAUUCAACGAGGAAUUCCUAGUAAACGCAAGUCAUCAACUUGCAUUGAUUACGUCCCUGCCCUUUGUACACACCGCCCGUCGCACCUACCGAUUGAAUGGUCCGGUGAAGCCUCCGGAUUGGCGCGCACCUCGGUGCCGCCGAGAAGUUGGCUAAACCUUACCAUUUAGAGGAAGGUGAAGUCGUAACA
rnacentral:rRNA from 1 species